GACAGAGGGUGCAAACGUUGCUCGGAAUUACUGGGCGUAAAGCGCGUGUAGGCGGACUGGUGUGUCGGAUGUGAAAUCCCCAGGCUCAACCUGGGAACUGCAUUCGAAACUGCCAGCCUUGAGUGGUGGAGAGGGAAGUGGAAUUCCUGGUGUAGAGGUGAAAUUCGUAGAUAUCAGGAGGAACACCAAUUGCGAAGGCAGCUCGCUGGGACGUUACUGACGCUGAGACGCGAAAGCGUGGGGAGCAAACAGG
rnacentral:rRNA from 1 species